CGAACACUGGCGGCGUGCUUAACACAUGCAAGUCGAACGGAAAGGCCCUGCUUUUGUGGGGUGCUCGAGUGGCGAACGGGUGAGUAACACGUGAGUAACCUGCCCUUGACUUUGGGAUAACUUCAGGAAGCUGGGGCUAAUACCGGAUAGGAGCUCCUGCUGCAUGGUGGGGGUUGGAAAGUUUCGGCGGUUGGGGAUGGACUCGCGGCUUAUCAGCUUGUUGGUGGGGUAGUGGCUUACCAAGGCUUUGACGGGUAGCCGGCCUGAGAGGGUGACCGGCCACAUUGGGACUGAGAUACGGCCCAGACUCCUACGGGAGGCAGCAGUGGGGAAUAUUGCACAAUGGGCGGAAGCCUGAUGCAGCAACGCCGCGUGCGGGAUGACGGCCUUCGGGUUGUAAACCGCUUUCGCCUGUGACGAAGCGUGAGUGACGGUAAUGGGUAAAGAAGCACCGGCUAACUACGUG
rnacentral:rRNA from 1 species